GAGCCGUUAGAUAAAUGGAAUAUUGCGUGCCGUGCAAACACGAGUUAUAGGUUCGAUUCCUAUACGGCUUA
rnacentral:tRNA from 1 species